rnacentral:rRNA from 1 species
UACGUAGGGUCCGAGCGUUGUCCGGAAUUACUGGGCGUAAAGAGCUCGUAGGUGGUUUGUCGCGUUGUUCGUGAAAACUCACAGCUCAACUGUGGGCGUGCGGGCGAUACGGGCAGACUGGAGUACUGCAGGGGAGACUGGAAUUCCUGGUGUAGCGGUGGAAUGCGCAGAUAUCAGGAGGAACACCGGUGGCGAAGGCGGGUCUCUGGGCAGUGAACUGA